rnacentral:rRNA from 1 species
AGCAGCCGCGGUAAUUCCAGCUCCAAUAGCGUAUAUUAAAGUUGUUGCAGUUAAAAAGCCCGUAGUUGAAUUUCGGAAUCUGUCCGUUGGUCGGGCUUCACUGUCCGUACUGAUGUGAUGGGUUCUUACCUUCUGAAUAACCAUCAUGUCAUUAAUUUGGUGUGUUGGGGAAGCAGGACUAUUACCUUGAAAAAAUUAGAGUGCUCAAAGCAGGCUAGUGCCUGAAUACAUUAGCACGGAAUAAUAAAAUAGGACGGCAUGGUUCUAUUUUGUUGGUUUCUAGGAUCACCGUAAUGAUUAAUAGGGAUAGUUGGGGGCAUUAGUAUUCAAUUGUCAGAGGUGAAAUUCUUGGAUUUAUUGAAGACUAACUUCUGCGAAAGCAUUUGCCAAGGAUGUUUUCAUUAAUCAAGAACGAAAGUUAGGGGAUCGAAGACGAUCAGAUACCGUCGUAGUCUUAACCAUAAACUAUGCCGACUAGGGAUCGGACGAUGUUAAUUUUAUAAAUGACUCGUUCGGCGUC